rnacentral:rRNA from 1 species
CAAGCGGUGGAGCAUGUGGUUUAAUUCGAUGCAACGCGAAGAACCUUACCUGGUCUUGACAUCCACAGAAUCUUGCAGAGAUGCGAGAGUGCCUUCGGGAACUGUGAGACAGGUGCUGCAUGGCUGUCGUCAGCUCGUGUUGUGAAAUGUUGGGUUAAGUCCCGCAACGAGCGCAACCCUUAUCCUUUGUUGCCAUUGGUUCGGCCGGGAACUCAAAGGAGACUGCCGUUGAUAAAGCGGAGGAAGGUGGGGGCGACGUCAAGUCAUCAUGGCCCUUACGACCAGGGCUACACACGUGCUACAAUGGCGUAUACAAAGGGAGGCGACCUCGCGAGAGCAAGCGGACCUCAUAAAGUACGUCUAAGUCCGGAUUGGAGUCUGCAACUCGACUCCAUGAAGUCGGAAUCGCUAGUAAUCGUGAAUCAGAAUGUCACGGUGAAUACGUUCCCGGGCCUUGUACACACC